UAUUAGUGGCAUCAUUAAAAGAUUAAAGCUUCGGUGGUAAGAGAUGAGUAUGCGUUCUAUUAGCUAGUAGGUGAGGUAACGGCUCACCUAGGCGACGAUAGAUAGGGGCCCUGAGAGGGGGAUCCCCCACACUGGUACAGAGACACGGACCACACUCCUACGGGAGGCAGCAGUGAGGAAUAUUGGAAAAUGGGCGCAUGCCUGAUCCAUCCAUGCCGCUUGCAGAAAAACUGCCAUAUGGGUUGAAACUGUUUUUAU
rnacentral:rRNA from 1 species